CAGCCGUAAACUAUGCUCGCUAGGUGUCAGGCAUGGCGCGACCGUGUCUGGUGCCGCAGGGAAGCCGUGAAGCGAGCCACCUGGGAAGUACGGCCGCAAGGCUGAAACUUAAAGGAAUUUGCGGGGGAGCACCACAACAGGUGGAGCCUGCGGUUUAAUUGGACUCAACGCCGGGAAGCUCACCGGGAACGACAGCAAUAUGUGGGCCAGGCUGAAGACCUUGCCUGAAUCGCUGAGAGGAGGUGCAUGGCGUAGACGUCU
rnacentral:rRNA from 1 species